rnacentral:rRNA from 1 species
UACGUAGGUGGCAAGCGUUGUCCGGAUUUACUGGGCGUAAAGCGCACGUAGGCGGAUUUGUAAGUCAGGGGUGAAAUCCCGAGGCUCAACCUCGGAACUGCCUUUGAUACUGCAAAUCUCGAGUCCGGAAGAGGUGAGUGGAAUUCCUAGUGUAGAGGUGAAAUUCGUAGAUAUUAGGAAGAACACCAGUGGCGAAGGCGGCUCACUGGUCCGGUACUGACGCUGAGGUGCGAAAGCGUGGGGAGCAAACAGG